UACAGAGGGGGCAAGCGUUAUUCGGAAUUACUGGGCGUAAAGGGCUCGUAGGCGGCCAACUAAGUCAGACGUGAAAUCCCUCGGCUUAACCGGGGAACUGCGUCUGAUACUGGAUGGCUUGAGAUUGGGAGAGGGAUGCGGAAUUCCAGGUGUAGCGGUGAAAUGCGUAGAUAUCUGGAGGAACACCGGUGGCGAAGGCGGCAUCCUGGACCAACACUGACGCUGAGGAGCGAAAAGCCAGGGGAGCAAACGGGG
rnacentral:rRNA from 1 species